rnacentral:lncRNA from 1 species
CUAAAAAUAUCUUGAACACUUGUUUAGCAAUUCAUCAAACGGCUGUACUACGUAGCAGGGAAGCCAAUACCAUUUGAGAUUGAGCCCAGCGUAAAAAUGUCGCAAGGGUUAUACAAAGACGUUCUGACGCACACGUGAGCCAAAUGAAACAUUCAUAAGAAAUCCAAUGAUAAUAAAAAUGCUAUCAUAACCAAGCAUUGCACAAGGUAAAGAGAAACAAACAAUUAACCGCAGCAACUUACUCAUCCGAUACUUAAUCGAAGGCAAAGUAUGUAAGGAAAAUUGCCCGACAGACAAAGCAAGGGCAGACUCGACACACCCUAUGACCAUAAUGUUUUUGGGGACUGAUGCCACCACCUAGUAGGAUAGUUACGAGUGUUUGGAGAUCAAAGUCUCCGCCCAAAACGAAUGUUGGAAGAAUCCUCCCUCUACAUGAAUUAUUAAUUUCUUCGAUAUGAAAGGCAAAAACUUCACCAGAUCCUGAUUGGGCAGGACCGGGAACAAACUGCUCUUGUUCGUCAUCAUUUUUCUCCAUUUAAGCACCGCCAGAGCCGUACUUCUUCCCGAAGAAGAGGAUCUGGAGCUGGUCAUAGCCAGAAAGCACACCAGCACCAGCAAUGGCACGAAGAAUGUUAGCACCAGCACCCUUGAACAGGGACUUGGGGCCUUCCUUCUUAAGGAUCUGCUGGAACGCAUCCAAGGAGCUCUUGUACUUGACAGCCUCACCAGAAGUCAUCAUCAUCCUUCUGCGGACAGUAUCAAUGGGGUAAGAUGCAAGACCAGCACCGUUGGUGAUCAGCCAACCCAGAGCGAAACUUGCGAAGAAAUUGUCCUGCAAAAGAGAAACACAUUUUAUAGCACACACCACAAGCAAAAGCCAAAAGAGAAACAUCUUAUAGCACACACCACAAGCAAAAGCACACUAUAUUGAAGGGACAAAUUAGACAAACCUGAAGGUUGCCGGUGAGGACAACUGGCUUGAUAGAAUCAUAGAGCCCGAAGUACAAACCACGGUAAACGAUGAUUCCAACACAAGAGAUGUUAAAUCCACGGUAAAGCCCAGCGAUACCAUCAGAUUUGAGUGUCUUGCGGUAGACAUCCACAAGACCAUUGAAUUGCCUAUCACCUCCUCCCUUGGCAGCCUUGGCGUCAUUGGCCAACCUUGUCCUGGCAUAGUCCAGGGAGUACACAAAAAACAAAGAGGAAGCACCAGCAGCUCCACCAGAGGCCAGGUUGCCAGCAAACCACUUCCAGUAACCAUCCUUGUCCUUCUUGAAGUUGAACAACCUCUUGAAGUAGUCCUUAAAUGCAAAGUUCAAAGCCUAGACAAAGAUACAAAGACAGUUAAUAAUAUAUAAGUUAGAUCAUAACUUGAUCACACAGCAAGGCCAUUAGGAAAACAAUCAGUUGCAUUCAAUCAUUUAGGAACAGAAAGAUCUUGUAGUUUCAACAUAUUUAGAAUAGUUUCUGAGUAAAAAGACAAAAUGGAAGAUGUGGGCUACCUGAGUAGGGAAGUAACGAAUAACAUUUGCAGUGUUACCCCUCCACAAGGAAGAGAAACCCUCAUCCUUGAUGGUACGUUUGAAGCAGUCACCAAUACCCUUGUAUGGCUCUGACAGCCUACCAGACUUGAUCAUCUCAUCCUGGUUCUGAAUAAGCAGCUUCACACGCUCAAUGGGAGCAGCAGCAGUCUUCGAAACAGCAGCUGAAACACCGCCCAUCAUGAAAUCAAUCAUGAAGUUUUUGCCUCCCUUCUCAGCUGGAGCAUUGGCAAAAAGCGGGGUACGCAUCACUGGGACAUUGAUGCCACCAGUAACAGACAUUGAAGGGCUGAAAAGGCUCUGUGUCAUGUAGUUCCUUGUGGCAAAACUCCUUUCAUACGAAGAGACAGAAGGGCAGAUGUUACGGGCCCGAACACCUUCAGAGAAGCUGGAGCUCAGGUGGAACUGGCCACCAAGCUUAUGAAGGACAGUGGGUUGGUUAGCCUGGUCCGCCAUUACCACCUCAAAACUAUUGGCUGCAACAUAAUAUCGAUACACAAAACUUAGUAUAGUGCAUAAAGAGAAACAGAAUAAGAUCUCCACAUCUGUGUAAAAAAAGUAUGUUGUAUAUAGUAAUAAAGCUACAGAAACAAACAAACAUUAUUUUCUGAGCUUCAACAUGGACUAACCACAAAUCAACGCUAGACACAGUUAAUUGAGGUAGAGAGCCUCCAUAUAAACAUUAACAGAUAAAACUAUCAAACAGAAAUAAAUAAUUAAUGCAAUUAUACAUAGACAUUUAUACUUUUUCAUGUUCCAUAACUCUAGUCUUGACAACUAUCACCAGAAUAUAACAGAUGCAUAAAACUGAAUCAACAAAAUUUACAAUCCGACAGCACAAUGUAGUAUGCUCAAACAGUUAAGGAAUUUUAAUAUUCACAGGUUGUGCAACAAAUGAAAAUUACCAUGAUCACCAAAUUCAAUUACACAAAACCAUUGAAGAACAUCAUAGCAUGUCGAAACUAUUAGGUGUGCACUCUAAUACUACUUGCAUGGACCCAAAAAAAUAAACCCUGAAACAAUUACAGUUGUUUCAAGUACUAAUAAGACCAUCUUUGACAUGUGUUACCAAGAGAAUAUGCUUAAUUUUUGCCACUUAAACCUACUAUCAAAUCACGACAGAUUACCCAAACAUCAACUGUGCACAAAAAAGUCAUGAAUUAUGGCAGCGUGUACGUAGUAGAGUGAAAGCAGAUCUAGGGGUAUGGAUCAUGCAAAUCAAGAUCUUCACAUGAUAUAUGUGCUUAAAUAAUAAAGUCUAAAAGAAUUCAACAUUUCAUCCAAAAUCUUUGGGACGGGCGCCUACCGUCAGAUCGACAUCCACGGCUCAGAGCACAGACAGAUCUAACGCGGCACCGUCACUAUCACGAAACAGUGGUCAAAAUACGACAUAUUUUUCCUCUCCCUGUCCCACUUACCCGAUUGACCAACCAAUAACCUCGCGAUCUAAAAUGAUUCCACAAGGAUCUAAAGAUUCCAAGGCUCCAAGCCAAUCGGAGCAUAAAAUCCACUGCGAUGAACACAUCUACGGAGAAACGGCGUAGAUCUCAAGUAUACAUAAACCCGACCACUAGGAGAGUCCCAGCAGUCCUUACCCGACGCAGGAAGCACCGAUCUGAAUGAAUCCCAAAAGGCCGAGGCUACCACACGAACGAUCCAAGCCUAGAAACCGGAAAUAAUGGAUCUAUACGCGACGAACACAGACGAGCAGAGCAGAUCUAUAUAUAACAGCACACAAGGCGGACCGAUCGCCACAAAUAGGAACGAGAGCACGAUCCUAAAUCGGGAACAGAGGACGGGAGAGAAGCCUGGUGGGACGCGAGACUCACCCUUGGGCACCGGAGGCGGAGAGGGAGGCAGGACUGGGCGGCGGCUCCGAACUUUCAGAGGCGCGUCGAGGUGAGAGGGGGGCGAUGCCUUCCUGGGGAAUGCCUUUUUAUCUCCGCUGCGCCGCCACCGCGCGUGCCACCAGCCUAGUGGGGGUCCUCGCGCGCGGGCUGGCCGUCCGAUCGGGCGGGGCCGGUGGAUCCGCGUCUUCCCCGCGCGGUGGGCCACAUGGGGGUGGUUCCAUGCUGGGUAUUUUGAUUCGUCGGAUACGUGGAUCCGGUGCGGGGUGACGAACACCGAACGGCGGGUUCGGCUAGUGGAGGAUGGUGCGGUGCGGAUGUGGUUGGUGGGGAAUGGGGGAGCGCGUGUAGAGUGUGGCACGGCGGAUCCAGGGCGUUAGGGUUUGUUUGCGCUGGAACGGACGGUGGAUGUGCACCGCCAUGUGGGGUUGGUCGGUCAGAUGGGGUCUCCAGGUCCAGGUCCAGCGAUAGCGGAAGAAGGUUGGGGGAAGGCGGAGUGUGAAAGGGCAGCACGGAACAUGGGCUCGGGUGUGCGAAACGUGCAAGUUGGCUGUGGCCUUUUGACGUUGAUGAUGGGAUGGAUGGUCAGUAUUUCUCCUCGCGAAACUAUAACACUUUUGUUUUUUUUUAUAAAUAUUAUUCAAUUAUAAAGUAACUAGAUUUAAAAAAUUUAUCUCAACAGUCAAACUGUAUAAUUUGUUUUUAUUUUCAUCUAUAUUUAAUAUUCAAUAUAUGUGCCACAACAUUUGAUGUGACGUGGAAUCUUGAAAAGUUUUUUAUUUUUAGGGUAAACUAAACAAGGUCUAAGGACUCUUCUAACUGAGGCCUUCCCCACCUGAAAAAAUUUCAUCUAUCCCAUCAAAUAUUUGGACACAUACAUAAAACAUUCAAUAUACAUAAAAAAAUAAACUAAUUACACAGUCUGGUUGAAAAUCGCGAGACGAAUCUUUUAAGCCUAGUUAGUUCAUAAUUAGCCUUAAGUGCUACAGUAACCCACAUGUGCUAAUGACAGAUUAAUUAUGCUUAAUAGAUUUGUCUUGCCGUUUCCAAACGAGCUAUAUAAUUUGUUUUUUUAUUAGUUUCUAAAAACUCCUCCUGACAUCCUUUUGACACAUCCGAUGUGACACUCAAAAAAUUUUCAUCUUCAAUCUAAACAGAGUCUGAUAGGAAACAUCGAA